UUAGAUGGGUGUUCACCCCAAGCAUCUUCUUGCUCAUUUUCAUUGGACAAGCUCACUGGAACAGCUGGAGUUAAGAAAGGUGAAGUUGAUGGGUGUUCUUCCCAAGUUUCCAGCUGGCGGUCUGAAUGAGAGAAGCUCAUUGACAUUACAAAAGGUGAGUGUCCACCCCAAUGAUCUUGUGGCUCAUCUGCCUGGGAGAAGCUCAUGGGAACAUCUGGAGCUGAGAAUGAUGGAACUGUACUCAUGUAGAGCCUGUUACCUCGACAGCUGGGGAAAGUCUCAAAACGGGCCUGCUGUGGCUUCUCCAUGGCCCUUUGGUGGUGAUUAACAAAUGCUGUUGAAAGAAUUGAAUUUUCAGAUUCUGAGAUGUCAGAAGUGUAGCAUGCCCUUUUCCAUUUUUUGGAAAUGUUGUCAAAUGAUGCUGAAAUUAUCAAAAAUUCUGGCCUGAUGCUUGGUCCAACCCUUAUCUGGCUGUGGUGCCUCCAUCAACCUGACACUCUUUAGUAACCGGUCCAAGUCUUUGUAUGGAGGCCACCAUGAGUGGCCAUCUGAGUACCAGGACUUUGCUACGGGACCGGUACUCCCU